rnacentral:rRNA from 1 species
UACGUAGGGGGCAAGCGUUGUCCGGAUUCAUUGGGCGUAAAGAGCGUGUAGGCGGCCAGGUAGGUCGGUUGUGAAAACUGGAGGCUCAACCUUCAGAGGUCGACCGAAACCAUCUGGCUAGAGUCCGGGAGAGGAGAGUGGAAUUCCUGGUGUAGCGGUGAAAUGCGCAGAUAUCAGGAAGAACACCAAUGGCGAAGGCAGCUCGCUGGGACGGUACUGACGCUGAGGAGCGAAAGCAUGGGGAGCGAACAGG